UACGUAGGGGGCUAGCGUUGUCCGGAAUCAUUGGGCGUAAAGCGCGUGUAGGCGGCUCGGUAAGUCCGCUCUGAAAGCCCGGGGCUCAACCCCGGGAGGCGGGUGGAUACUGUCGAGCUCGAGUCCGGAAGAGGCAAGUGGAAUUCCCGGUGUAGCGGUGAAAUGCGCAGAUAUCUGGAGGAACACCGGUGGCGAAGGCGGCUACCUGGCCCAACAUUGACGCUGAGACCCGAAAGCAUGGGGAUCAAACAGG
rnacentral:rRNA from 1 species